GAUGAAGAACGCAGCGAAAUGCGAUAAGUAAUGCGAAUUGCAGAAUUCAGUGAGUCAUCGAAUCUUUGAACGCUCAUUGCGCCCUGUGGUAUUCCGCAGGGCAUGCCUGUUCGAGCGUCAUUUCAACCCUCAAGCCCCGCUUGGUGUUGGGCCCCGCCCGCCGUGGCCGGCCCUAAAGACAGUGGCGGCGCCGCCUGGCCCUCAGCGUAGUACAGCUCUCGCUCCAGGGUCCGGCGGCCGCCUGCCAGAACCCCCCCAACUCUGUGGUUGACCUCGGAUCAGGUAGGGAUACCCGCUGAACUUAAGCAUAUCAAUAAGCGGAGGA
rnacentral:misc_RNA from 1 species